rnacentral:rRNA from 1 species
GAUGAACGCUGGCGGCGUGCCUAAUACAUGCAAGUCGAGCGAACGGACGAGAAGCUUGCUUCUCUGAUGUUAGCGGCGGACGGGUGAGUAACACGUGGAUAACCUACCUAUAAGACUGGGAUAACUUCGGGAAACCGGAGCUAAUACCGGAUAAUAUUUUGAACCGCAUGGUUCAAAAGUGAAAGACGGUCUUGCUGUCACUUAUAGAUGGAUCCGCGCUGCAUUAGCUAGUUGGUAAGGUAACGGCUUACCAAGGCAACGAUGCAUAGCCGACCUGAGAGGGUGAUCGGCCACACUGGAACUGAGACACGGUCCAGACUCCUACGGGAGGCAGCAGUAGGGAAUCUUCCGCAAUGGGCGAAAGCCUGACGGAGCAACGCCGCGUGAGUGAUGAAGGUCUUCGGAUCGUAAAACUCUGUUAUUAGGGACGAACAUAUGUGUAAGUAACUGUGCACAUAUUGACGGUACCUAAUCAGAAAGCAACGGCUAACUACGUG